CCGAGCGCGCGAGCGGACAUGACGUGUGGCUGUCGUAAAAACCCUAUUUGUAAACAACCAGCCCUUUAACUCGGGGCUGCGUCAUAAACACGGCGCGCUUGGAAGACCACGAUGUCAUCUUCCUUCUGUCAGGAGGAUCCAAGUGAAGCUACAGGAGUUUCAUUAACGUCAACAACUUGGACCAAACAGUUUGUUUUGCUUGAUGAAGAGCAGGAAGGGCAGCCUGGAGAGAAAGAGAAGCCGGGUUGAGCCCACUACCAUCAUCCACGUACCACGAGGAAGAUGAGGGAGAGAAAUGAUCCUACCAUUAAAGAGACUGUGAAAAGAACGUUGAGAACAUCACCACUCUACAGGAAGACACAGUCCAGUAAUGGGUGUCAGAAGUUCAGUAGUGAACGACAGAAACAAACAAUCAAAAUGACCUGCAGAAAGCCCUUGAUGGACGCUUCAGCUGCAUCGUCAGACUGGAAGGACUGAUGCAUUUACUGAGAGGGGACGUGAGGGCCUACUCUGCGUGCUCAGAGUUCAAGCCCAGCAGGCUGCAGCGGGCCUGACAUAUUCUGGAACAGCAGCACAGUCUUUGGAUGACUCCUCUGAAGAUGAAAACAUGGCGAGUUCUUCUCAAGAGAAGCAGUACAGGUGUGCCUCAGCUCCACGGUCCCUCCUGCAGCCUCCGCUCCUGAUGCUAACCUCAUGUCUCCAUCACACCAAGCAGCAGACCUGGAUUGACAGACCUUUCUCCAGAGCUGCCCCCUCCCUCUGAAACCCCCCUCUCCAAAACACUAUUUGUGUAGUUUUUAAAGUAUUUUUUGCAUGAGAAUUGUUGAUCAUAACAUUUCCAGCAGAUGCCUUAAUAUAAUGUUUGUGCACAAUAAAUGACAUUGAUCAUAACAUA